rnacentral:misc_RNA from 1 species
AGCAAACGGAAAAUCGUUUUUGAAUUUUCCACCCAUUCAGUAAGUUUCGGCCGAUGAAAGUGUUUUAAGCUUUCCGCGACGAUCGCGCCGUCCAAUUUCAUUAAAUUUAAAAUAAUCCUCUUUGCCCAGUUCUGUCCGCCUCAAAUAGAACUAGCUCAGUGAAAACGGAGGAAAUUGCACUUUCAGUUUCUUGAAAAUUUUGCAAAAAUUGAAGUUUUCUUACGCGGAAAAGUUAAGAGUAAUUGUGAAAGUUGUGGAAAUUGAAAAUUUACCGAGAUCCUGUAUUUUUGUGCUGUGAAAAUAUUACAUAAUAGAAAAUUUAAAAAAAAGAAAAAUCUUUAUUAUUUUUGGGUAUCGGAAAGUGAUAGGUAUCCUUCGAAAUUGCAGAAAAUCUUUUUAUAUAACACAAGCCCCAAAACAAAUAGUGUGAAAAGAUUAUAAAUAAUCUACCAGGAAAGCAGUUUUCAAUUUAAAAAAAAAAGUUUCCAUUUAGUGAUUUUCACAAGAAGAAAAGUGUCGCGUUUGAAACGAAGAAAUUCAUGUGUUUUUGACCAAGAGAAGGAGAGUGAAAAUUUUCUUCAAGUUAAAAAUAGGAAAAUUGGAUAGUGCCUAGUCCCGGGAUAUGUUCAGCUUUAGAUUGGAUUUAUAAUUUUAAAUUAAAAUAAAAUGAGUAAUUUAAAUGGAUUGCCGAGAACAACAUCGCCGAAACUCAAAUCCGGUCGCUCGAUGCCGCAAUGGAUGACUGAAACACACGAUCGAAUCGGGCCCAAACCACCUGCUGCACCCCCGCAGUCAAACGAUGCGCCACCUGCUUUACCACCCAAAAAGAGUCAACUGGAACCGGACUAUGAAGUGAUCGAGUUCAAUAGUCAGUACACAAAUGCAGCACCACGCCCUAAGACACCAGAUGUGAAGCGAAUCGAUGGUAUCAAGUGCACAUUGUGCGGAUCCAAUUCGGCAUAUGUCAAGUGUGAGGAAUGUCCGCAGCAGUACUUUUGUGCAUCCUGCGAUGACAUGUUUCACAGACAUCCCAAGCGCCAGACGCAUUCACGGAAGGCAAUCGAGAAGAUCCAGACUGUCAAGCCACCACUGCCACCCAAAUCAGACUCCCAUUUAGCUAAUCCACCGGUACCCCCACCCAGACGAAACAAAAAGGGAAUGCCCAGUCCAAUGCCAGUGCGCAAGGAACAGAUGAUGGGUGGGAUGGGAGGCGGAGGAGGAUCAAUCGGACCAGUAUCACUUCACCAUCGAGCUCCAAGUCCAUCGUCAUCACUUGCCGAUCGUAUGGCAAAUUUUCGACGUAUGGCACCGAAUCAUACAAAUCGUCCACUUCCAGACACUCCCGCUAACCAGGAACCUUUCCGACAAACAGCCUCGCCAAGGUCAACCACGCCCAAUAGUAUGCGAUCUACAGCGUUCGAUUCAAUCCAACGACCACCAUCGAUUGCUUUGGAAAAGAUCAAAUCAAAAGCUCACGCGACCCUCGAUCGGAUGGCAUUGCUCCAGCAAAGAUACCGCCAACACCAGGAGAACAUGCGCAAUGGAAAAGUUGGCGAUGAUUCCGUGGGACGUCGUUUGAGUAAUGCAUCUAAUUUCAAUGAAUCUCAGUUACACUUAUCAUCUGAUCAGUGGUCAGGACCACCUUCUCCCACUCGAAACCGUUCCAGUAGCAUAUCAUCUGGACUGAAUCUUGCUCAACCCCAUAAUAAUUUCGAUGCUUCACAUUUUCAUUUUCCCCACCAACAUCAGAUGGAUACCCGUCAACAGAUGAAUCCCCAAAUGCGUAGUAUGAGUACAUCAGUUUUCAAUUUGAAUCAGGUUGGUGGACAGAGAUAUCCUGGAGGUUGGAGUCCAGCACAACAGAUGAAUCAGGCACAAUCUAUGGCACAGUUGAAUUGCCAAACUUGUCAACCAGGAUGGAACCAAAGCGGAGGUGACCCAUGGGCAGAAGGAAUGCGAAUGAACAGCUUCAACGGCUCUAACAUGAGUUUAAACCUUCCACCAAGCGGUUAUUUCCCGAAUCAACAUCCCAUGCACGGUCCACCGCCAACAUGGGCCAAUAAUUGGGGUCCACCUCCCAUGUAUCCAUACCCGAUGGCACCAAUGAUGAAUCCCGCUAUGAUGCCUCCCGUUUACCCACCAAGAUCACGUGCCCAUUCCCGAGCCACAUCAAGGGCAGGUUCACCCGCACUCAGUAUCAAAUCAAGAAAAUCAACGAAAUCAACACGGUCAAAACGGAACAGCUAUGCCGAGCAUGAGGCAACUGACGAUGAAGACUCUGAGGACGAUCAUCGAUCCUUGCGAUCUGGCAAAUCAGGUAUGACCAACACCUCGCGGCGACAACGAAAAGUUUCAUCUACAUCUCAAAGCUAUGAUAUGGAGGAUGAAAGCGAAGGAUUCAGUCAUUCAAAACAACGUACUGCUCAGCGAUCUAGACGCGACAGUAGAGAUAGUCGCGCAGGAUCUACCGGGAAGCCUUUACACAAUGACUGGCUACCUGGGCGUAGGAUUUCAUCAGCAAACUCACAUCAAGAUCGACUACCAAGAAAAACAGCGUCUGAUUCGCCUAUGACACAGGACUCUGAGUCUGAACCGGGAACAAGGGCGAUUGUUCAGGCGAAAAUACAGGAGAAAAUGUCAAAACAGAACCAAGUAUCCUCUCCGGCUCAAUCAAAAGCUGCGCAAUCAUCUUCUUAUGAUGAAGAGGAACCUCCAACACCUCUCAGAAACAAAGAACCUUCGCCGGAACCAGAACCAGCUGUGGUUAUAAGCUCUCCACGUGAACCAGAACCCAGAGAAGAGGUGCCCAAUAAUGAGGAAGACAUACAAUACAUUGAUGACGCUCCUCCAGGGCCACCUCCAGAAGCGCCUGAUUACGACUGGGAAUGCGAAUUUUGUACAUUCUUAAACGAAGCCAAUACAAGGAUUUGUUCAAUUUGCUGUAAAACUCCGACGCAGCAACCAUCAAAGCCUACUGUUCCUGAAAAUCCUCCAGCUACUCAACAACCUCCCAAACAUGAGCCACCAUCCCAACAGGACGCAGUGACCACGAUCACCAAAAAAGCUAGUUCUAUGAAAAUAUCAGCCUCUGAAGAAGAUUCCGAAGAUCCCAGAGGAACUAAGAAUAAGAAGAAAGGACAUCAAAAUAUGUCCCUAGAGGAUAUUUGGGCUACAAUUGAGAAUGAUAUAAACGAUGCAGCAUAUGCAACGGUACCUACUAAUAAAAGAGAUGGUGAAAUCAUUACAGCAAAUACUUUCCAGAAUAAAGACAAUCCACCCCUUAACCGUCAUGAAAAACAAUCGUCUAACCGCUAUAGAGAUCAGGACGAUGACAGGAUGAGUGUUACGAGUCAUAAAGUGUCCACAGCCUGUGGACCCUCACCCCCUAGGGAGGUGAAACGAAAAGUUUCAACAGCGGUUUCGACCGGGACUUCACCACCACCGCAAAGUAUAUCGACUCAGACAUACGAACCACUUCCUCUUCAGCUUGACAGUGAAGGAUCUAGCUACCGCUCGCAACCACGAUCCUAUUCAAUCGCCGCACCGGGAGUUCUACCCCGUAAAAAUGAGGCACGGACUAUGAGCAGGCAGAGCCUGAUAAGCGACAGUCAAAGCCUACCCCCAACACCACCACGCCACGAUAUGAGCCCGUUCAGUACCAGCCAAAACAAAUACAACCAAAAUGCAGGACAACUAGAUGCUGAAACCUUAGCUUAUUUGGAUCGAAGCUUACAGUACUUCAAGGAUCUACAAUUUAAUCAAAAGAGCGAUCGAUAUCGAAGUCAUAGUGAUUUGCGAAAAGAAGAUUUAUACUCGCACCAGCAAAAAUCAUCAAUUGCUGAUUAUCUCAACCUGCAAAAGAAUUACAAUGAGCCACAAUUCGAUUCCUAUGUCUCACGUCGAAAGGACUCAACUACAAACCUAAGAAGCUCAGAAAUGGAACUAGCCCUCCUUUUGCGGGAAGCUGAACAUUACAAAUACACCGCCGAGGAGCUUCAAGCCGCCCUCAAGCAUUGCGGUGAUCUCCAUCCUAUCACUUGGCUCCGUGAAAACUGGUCCAAGCUCAUACAGACCGUCCAAACCCUGGCAACAAAAUACGGUCAAGAACGCAAGGAAAACACCAUUGGUACCAUCUCAUCCAUAGAAGCCCGAGAGGCCUUGCGAAUCCACAAAGGAAAUGUCUGGCAUGCCGUGACCGAAUGUAUUGAGCAGCGUCAAAAGAAGUAUCGUGAUAUUGCCGAUCGUGGAAACUAUUCGAGGGAGGACAUCGUAACAGCUCUGACUGCACAUCAUGGUAAUCUCGAGUUAGCAUUAAUUGAUUUAGGGAAAAGUCAAUUGAAACCAUUUCUCAUGAGAAUCUGGGGACCACCGACGGGAGUUGAAAACGAAAGUGGAAAUCCACUGGGCUUGGGAACAGAGGAUGAAACAACGAAAUUUGAGAUUAAUCCAUCAAUUCAGGAGUUCUUAAACGCCAAUGCAGACAGUAUCAGAUUGCCACAUUUAGGCGAGCAAACAAUGAAGUUGUCACCGUCCAACUUUGCAUCACUCACUAGUCUAUCAACAUUCAGUUCAGAAAACAAGGAUAAUUUCCAAGAACCAGCUGGAAGCGGACGAAGCUCACAAUACACAAGCAACCAAAACCUCUUGAAAGACAUCGAAACACUCAUUGGAAAUAUGGAGCUUAACCAAGCAAGACAAAACGAAGACAUGCUCAAAAAUAUUGAGAACAUGCUUGGCAACCUCCUGUCCCGUCAAACAUCUCGCCCUGAAUCAGCGGAUUUAGAGUUCCCAAGUCUUGAUAGGAUCGUUGCAAAGAGCCCAAUAGUUCACUCACAAAAGACCAAUAAGAGCAACAGGGAAGACAUCAGUAUUAAGAAUUUUGUUUCGAAGCAUAUUCAGGAUAUCAUACCCGAUCUGGUAGAGCAAGUUGAGAAGGAACUUCAAGAGGACAACGAAGAUAUAAUCGAAAUAGUCCAGCAAGACCCAGAACCAUCUGAGCCACCAGAACCACCGGCACCUCCAAUUAGUCAAGACGAAUACAUCAUGGAUGUCAUAAUUACCCCAAAUCUGAAAUACACAAGCGUUCGUGAAGCCUCUCCCACGGUUUUAGUGGAAGCCGGUAAUGUUGAUGAAUUUAAAUAUGAGCCGACGAAUGAUGUACAAGUUGUUUUCGAAGAAAAUAAACUGGAAGAAUUCAAAAGUGUCACAGCUGAGACUCUUGAUAUUCAUGUGAUGAAACAACCUGUGAAAGAAACCCCGAGGAAGAAAGAGCCAAUUAGGCAGCCAAAAAAAGGACGGGGUGGCCAGAGAAAACAGCAGACUGUGGAAGGUCACUCAGUUGAACAACUGGUAUCACCGUCUAAGUCAAACUCUGAACCUGAACCUGCUGGAUUGUCCGUACAAUUACCAGAUACUUCAAAUAAGGUAACUCAAUCGCAGGAGGAAACAAAACAACCUAUUUCUAGCCUCAAUGUAAGCAACCAGACAGCAGAUAACAGAAAAGUCGAAAUUCCAGCAACUUCAUCUGAAGUUUCUACAACCAAUUUCGUGCCUGUACAGACUGCCGUCACUGCUGAGGUUCCGACUUUAGUAGCAGGAAUGAAUCCUUCCCAAGCUCCCAUACAAAACGUCGGAGAGCAACUUACUUCCUCUUCAAGUCUAGAAACAAAGGUUGACAGCCAGACUUCAUCAACUGAACAUACAGUCCAUGCUCCACCUACAAGCAAUAAUGCUCCUUCAUCAACCAGUAUUAAAAAUAGUCAGCAAGGACCCUCUGCAAUCAAAGAUAUGCCAAUAGAGAAAUCUGAACCAAAGCCUGUUGGAAACGCCAAUGAUGGAUUGACAGCAAAUAGCAAAGGACCAUCCACACAGGGAAAGACAAAUAUCAAGACUUCCGCCAAAAAAUCAAAAAUUCCAGUGCGAAGUCGUACCACCAGUAUUACAAGCCCAGUCCCACCUGAAGACAAACCAACAAAAAUAAGUACAGCAACUAUUAUUCUACAAGUCCCUCAGAACCAAGCAACGCAGGACCAACAAAGCCCAAAUGCAGAACAAAUAUUAACUGAGUCAACACAGAAAGUGGCGGUAAAACCAGAAAUGCAGCCACAGGCAGCCUACGAACCCAGACCUAGCAGUGUUGCAGAAAACACUGUGCAACAGAAUCCGAAUACAGUCGAACAAAAUAUUCAAAUUAUCCAAUCUGAUCAACAUCAACAAACGAUUCCUCCACUGGUUUCGCCAGUAACCUCGUCAGAGCUGGUAGCAUCAAUGGAUUCAAACCAAACCACAUCGUCAGAGCUCAAAUCAGACCCAAAUAUCAAUUCAGGAACAAACUCAGAUGAGGAACUUUACAGCGGAAUUGAAGACAAUGAGGAGACAUCGGAAGAGGAGCUCUAUAGCCUACCCUCUGACAAUGAGGAGAUCCAAGACAGCAAAGAAGUAGAAAAUGAAGCAAACACAAUCGGUACUGAGCCCAUUCAAAUGACUGAACAAACAACACUUGAAGAAACUCCACCCGGAGAAACAGCAUUUGAAGAGACAGCGCCUGAAAAAGCUGCUCCGGUAGAAUCAGGACCUGAAGAAAACGCGCCCGAGAUGAUAUCUACUACUGGCAAGGAAGGAAUUAUUAUCCCUGAAGCCGAUCCUCCAGAUGAUAUUGGAGCCCGCUCAAUUGACUCAAGCGCAGAGCAAGCAACACCGCUGCCACCUCAAGAGGAGCCUCCACUAAAACUCUCGAUUCCUUCCACGUCUACUCCAUCAUCCUCUUCCGGAGUACAAAACCCGCCUAACACAUCAGCCUCAUCAAACGAGCCUUUAACUUUAGAAUCACCCAAAUCCCAGAACCUUUCUGCCCUCGUCGAGGACACACAACGUCUUAUCAAGCAAAUGAAAGAAGAGAUCAAUUCAGAUAUCGCAUCAUUUGUAUCAGAUGGUGAUGGAUCUGAUUACUCGGAAGGAUACUCAGAUGAGUGGACCGAUGAUGAUGAAGAGGAUGACUAUUUUGACGAAGAACUGGAUGAAGAAGAGCUUACCGAAGAACAAGAGGGAGAAGAGUAUGAUGAGGAAGGAGAUUGGACUGGUGAUGAAACUAUUAAUGAAAAUGAGGAGCAAGAUGAAACUGAAAUACAGGAAAAUGAUAUAACAGAAGAAGUGGAUGGAGCAGAGGACAUACCUAUUUCACAGGAUACAGUGGAUGCAGAACUGAACAAUGACGAGGAGUUAAUUGAAGGGAAUUCCGUAUCAGAUAACCAACAAGAAGCUGCCGAAGCUUUACAAGAAACAAAUAGAAACGAAGAGAUAACUCCAAAUGAGCCAAAUCACAAUGUAGAAACGUCAGUCCCCAAUGAACCCAUCUCAGCAGGUGAGCAAACGCAACCAGAGCCAUCAAAAUCCUUACCCGAAGGAGGUGACGAGUUACCCUCUGCAAAUGUCCAGCAAGUGCGUAACCAUGAGGAAUCAACGGAGAAUACAAUUCAAAAAACUGACGUUGCAGAGGGAACCCUUGUAGCUGUUAAGGAGCCCCAACUUGUAGUUCAGGAAACUGAGCAGCCUGAACCUAUACCUGAAAACUCCGAGACCGAUCAAACAACAAAUAUGAACCUUCAAGUCAAUAUUAGUGAAGUUACUCCGCUUCCUCUUUCGGAAUCUAGUGCCGAAACAAUUACAGCGGAACCUACUCCACAGCCCACUGAAGCUACCCCACCAACCCUUGGCCAACAAGAUUCUAUGCAAAAGCAGAGCUGGCAAUCUCAAAACCUUGAGUUGCCUAGUCAAGUUUCACAAGCACCCAACCAAACCAAUCAGGAAGUCCUUACAGAAAAAGGCACUUCUCAAUCACAAGACACUGGGCUAUCCAGUGAAAGCUCCCAAACGACUUCAAGCAGCCAACCGCCACCAUCAGAACCUAAUACUUCACCGAAGGACCAAGAAAUUGUCCACAGUCAUACGAGCGAAGUUCAACCCUCUACAACGAAUGUGGAAACCACUACUCCGGAAAAUCCACCACUUCAAACCCACCCAAAUCCUCCAGCCGAUGCAGCUGAUACACAAAAUCAGUCAGAAACUGGUGCCAAUGCUAAUAUAGAAAUUCAACUCAACGGUAACGACUUAAAUUUGUCAGAAGGUCACCCAAUUUCCCCAGAUGAUUUAUCGUCAAUUCCUUACGCGGAUCAAUCGGAAAACGAGGAUAGUGCUCCCACGACAACUAAAACAAACCAAAUAUCACAGAAGCAAAUUGCUCCAACUAGCGCAUCUGAAACACCGCAAGGACAAUCAACGACUUCUUCAAAAACUAUCUCCAACCAAAACUCCAAAACCAAAGCUCCAUCAAAAGACCCUGCUCCACCCGCUGCAACGCCAAUUGUUAAUGUGGAAGUGGUGAAACAAAAGAGCUCAACCCCAUCUACCAGGCAAAGCACCCCGAAGCCCAAUAAAAUCCCCGUUCGAAAAACAUCUAUCACAGGACCUCCUCCCCCAAUCCGCACUGGAUCAAUCCGAGCAAUCCAACAAGAGCUACUCAACAAACAAGCACAAGAUCUCCCAAAAAUCUCACGCGGAGUUAAACCAUCAAAGUUGGUUCCUCCGAAAAUAAUCGGCAAAUCUGUUAUCAGCUCGGUUACUGAAACAAUUUCGAAACUGAUCAAGCCGCAGGACAAUAAGCCAACGACUUCUACGAAAUCUUCACAGAAGCUACCAAAAAAGAAAUACCAUGAGACUUGCUUCAGUGAUGACUAUCAGUCUUCGUCCGAAGACGAAAGGACACAACGAACUAGGAAGCAGAGCGCUCCUGGGAGAGUAUUUAAAACCUAUCAGUCAUUGGAAGAGCCAGAGCCGAAGGAGCAAAUCAUCAAACGAGUUAUCGAGGAGAAGCUAGUCAGUAACAUCCUAGAAGCGGAGCUAGCUGCCGAACUCAUCAGCAUGAAAUUUCAGCAAGAAUCUGCCAUUUGGGCUGCAAAAGAAUGCAGUAAUCUCGAACAUGCAAUUGCACUCCUUCAACAGGAAUGUGAGCUUUGCACAGGAACAUACCCCAUGAAUCAGAUAGUGUCAAUGCUGAAAUGCACCCAUCAAUGCUGUAAGGAAUGCGCUAAAAAUUACUUCACUAUUCAGAUCACUGAUCGCAGCAUCACCGACUGCAAUUGUCCAUUCUGUAAAACACCCGAACUUCAUGAUCCUGAUAUAAAUGAGGACGACAUUUUGGAGUAUUUCUCUAAUCUUGAUAUCUUUUUGAAAAAUAUCGUUGACGAGGAGGUCCAUGAAUUGUUCCAAAGGAAGAUUCGUGAUCGGACACUUAUGCAAGAUCCCACGUUUAAGUGGUGUGUUCAGUGUUCGUCAGGAUUCUUCGCUAGGCCGAAACAGAAGAGGUUGAUUUGUCCAGAUUGUGGAUCAGUCACUUGUGCACAGUGCAGAAAACCGUGGGAAAAACAACACGAAGGAAUAACUUGCGACCAAUUCCAAGAAUGGAAGGAAAACAACGAUCCUGAAAAGCAAGCAGAGGGAGUGGCCUUACAUCUUAAACUGCAUGGAAUCGAUUGUCCUAAGUGUAAAUUCCGAUUCUCCUUAGCCAGAGGGGGAUGCAUGCAUUUCACAUGUACUCAAUGCAAAUAUGAGUUCUGUUAUGGCUGUGGAAAACCCUUUAUGAUGGGGGCGAAAUGCAAGGUGUCACCGUAUUGUGCCAAGUUAGGAUUACAUUCUCACCAUCCCCGCAACUGUUUAUUCUAUUUGCGUGACAAGGAGCCGCACCAACUGCAGGAGUUGUUGAAAAUGUUCAACGUAUCUUAUGACACAGAACCACGCGAUGCUUUACCCAUUACGAACUCCGACGGAGCAAAGGCGGUGAUAAAGUGUCCUAUUCCGUUGCAAAAAGAAAUCCCUACAGGACUAGUAGACACCGUAUGCAGUGGAGAUGUACAAGACGGACAUGCCGGGCUUUGUCGAUUUUAUCUACUGAUGAUCUUGAAAUUGUGAUUAAGCGUGCCAGCAAACGCAUACCACCUCGUCCUUAUGGUAUGGUCGAAGGAUUGUACCGAAGGGAAUUGCUUAAGAUUGUCAAGGAGCAAAUACCGAUGACCUAAUCCCAAACCGAAUGGUUCGAAGCGGAUACAUUAUGUGCGUAACUCAACCCUUGCAUAGACUACGGUCGAAUUGAGUUCAUUCUAGGCCAGAGGAUUCUGCGCGUCGC